rnacentral:rRNA from 1 species
UUAUUCUUUCGGGAAUAAGAGAGCGGCGUACGGGUGCGGAACACGUGUGCAACCUGCCUUUAUCAGGGGGAUAGCCUUUCGAAAGGAAGAUUAAUACCCCAUAAUAUAAUGAAUGGCAUCAUUUAUUAUUGAAAACUACGGUGGAUAAAGAUGGGCACGCGCAAGAUUAGAUAGUUGGUGAGGUAACGGCUCACCAAGUCGAUGAUCUUUAGGGGGCCUGAGAGGGUGAUCCCCCACACUGGUACUGAGACACGGACCAGACUCCUACGGGAGGCAGCAGUGAGGAAUAUUGGACAAUGGGUGAAAGCCUGAUCCAGCCAUCCCGCGUGAAGGACGACUGCCCUAUGGGUUGUAAACUUCUUUUGUAUAGGGAUAAACCUACUCUCGUGAGAGUAGCUGAAGGUACUAUACGAAUAAGCACCGGCUAACUCCGUGCCAGCAGCCGCGGUAAUACGGAGGGUGCAAGCGUUAUCCGGAUUUAUUGGGUUUAAAGGGUCCGUAGGCUGAUCUGUAAGUCAGUGGUGAAAUCUCAUAGCUUAACUAUGAAACUGCCAUUGAUACUGCAGGUCUUGAGUAAAGUAGAAGUGGCUGGAAUAAGUAGUGUAGCGGUGAAAUGCAUA